UUUAUUUUAGUUUUUUUUUUUUAAGAAGAGUACAUUCAAUAUAAGAUUGAGAUUAUGUGAAAAUAAAUUUAACCAUCAUUAUAUUAAAAUAUAUAUAUAAAUAAUUAAAAUAUAUGCAAAAAAAUAUGAUGUAAAUAUUUAACUUAAUAUCUAGUGAAGCCAUCUUCAUGAAGCGUACCCUUUUAAAAAAGAUGAAGUCUAAAUUCGCGCACAUAUCUUUCAGAAAACAUGACAAAAACCAAAUUUCGCUUUCGAAUAACGAAUAAGACUUUUGGUGAAAAAAAAAAAAAAACGAAUAAGA
rnacentral:misc_RNA from 1 species